GUUUUUACAUUAAUGACCAUAAUAAGUGUAGUCAAACCUCUAUUGAGUGUUCCCAUUAUUGUCCCAAAGCAGCAGCUUUGGUUUGCAUACUCUAAAUUUAUUCAUCCACCUACCGUUGUAAAUUGAUACCAGCUAUUGUCAUCGUAAUUUCCGUCUUUAAAACCUUGGGCAAGGGAAUCUUUCUGUACGAAACACUGUUCGAUGUUGCAGUGGUAGAUCACGUGAAGGAUAAAGACAAAUUUGGAAAAGACCUUCAUUUACUGUCGCUAUAAGACUGGACCGUUACAUGCAGAGGUUUUAAUUGGCGGUUCUCGAUCAGGCAUUCGAGACGUUGCCCAUUUAAGCAUUGCAUUCUUCGCUACAUUUCUUCAUUCUGCAUUCUUCAAGAUGUAUUGAUGGAGUUAAGUUUCUGCGGACAGAUUUCGAGCUGUUUUCAUGAGUGAAGAAAAGUGAGGAGAGGAAGUUGAGUGAAAAAUGGUCUUUGAAGGUGGUUUGAAGUUUGAACUGCAGCAUGCAGAAAGGUUUUGUUUAUAGACUUGCCUUGGAUGAGGGCCAUAGUUGAUGGUGGUGAAGAUCAUUAAGAGUGCCAACAAGCAAUUCCGAUUAACGAAUGAAAGUGUGCACUUCUAGCAACAUUUAUGCUUAAGUAAAGCAUAAUGGUCUUUCCACCACUUGUUCAUUCUUCCACCAGCAACUUUCUUCAUUCUUCCAUCACUUGUUCAGGUGCUUUGGUCUUUCCAUUCAUCCACCAAUUUUAUUUUUCUAUGAAUAACUUCAUUGUGGUUGAUACUUUUACCGAUGAUGAUUUUAAUUUUAUUGUAGCUUUGGACUGCUGAAUGUCUUAGUUUGGCUUGUUCCAAUGGUGAUGUUUUUUUCUCUAGAAUUCUAAGUUGGUCUUUGUUGAAGAUAAGGUAAAAAAAAAUUGAGUCCUUGUUCUUGGAGAAGGAUUGAGGAGGACCAUGCCAAUCCAACCAUUCCAUUUGAAUGAAGAAGCAAUCCCCUAACAACCACAUCAUGAUAUUUUUUACACUUGGAAAGAAGUCUUGUUCAUUCUGUAAAUUUUGAUAUGUAAAUUAAAUAAAGCUUUGCUCAUUUGGUA